GUUAUAGGGUCAAGCGAACAAGUGCAUGUGGUGGAUGCCUUGGCGAUCACAGGCGAUGAAGGACGCGGUAGCCUGCGAAAAGCUACGGGGAGCUGGCAAACAAGCUUUGAUCCGUAGAUGUCCGAAUGGGGAAACCCACUCCGUAUGGAGUAUCCAUGGCUGAAUACAUAGGCCAUGCGAAGCGAACGCGGUGAACUGAAACAUCUAAGUAACCGCAGGAAAAGAAAUCAACCGAGAUUCCCAAAGUAGUGGCGAGCGAAAUGGGAUGAGCCUUGUACUCUUUAUUUGUAUUGUUAGCCGAACGCUCUGGAAAGUGCGGCCAUAGCAGGUGAUAGCCCUGUAGGCGAAAACAGUAUGAAAGAACUAGGUGUACGACAAGUAGGGCGGGACACGUGAAAUCCUGUCUGAAGAUGGGGGGACCAUCCUCCAAGGCUAAAUACUCGUGAUCGACCGAUAGUGAACCAGUACCGUGAGGGAAAGGCGAAAAGAACCCCGGGAGGGGAGUGAAAUAGAUCCUGAAACCGCAUGCAUACAAACAGUCGGAGCCUCGUAAGGGGUGACGGCGUACCUUUUGUAUAAUGGGUCAGCGACUUACGUUCAGUAGCAAGCUUAACCGUAUAGGGCAGGCGUAGCGAAAGCGAGUCCGAAUAGGGCGUUCAGUUGCUGGGCGUAGACCCGAAACCAGGUGAUCUAUCCAUGGCCAGGAUGAAGGUGCGGUAACACGUACUGGAGGUCCGAACCCACUAACGUUGAAAAGUUAGGGGAUGAGCUGUGGAUAGGGGUGAAAGGCUAAACAAACCUGGAAAUAGCUGGUUCUCUCCGAAAACUAUUUAGGUAGUGCCUCGUGUCUCACCUUCGGGGGUAGAGCACUGUCAUGGUUGGGGGGUCUAUUGCAGAUUACCCCGCCAUAGCAAACUCCGAAUACCGAAGAGUGCAAUCACGGGAGACAGACAUCGGGUGCUAACGUCCGGUGUCAAGAGGGAAACAACCCAGACCGCCAGCUAAGGUCCCCAAAUAUGGCUAAGUGGGAAACGAAGUGGGAAGGCUAAAACAGUCAGGAGGUUGGCUUAGAAGCAGCCACCCUUUAAAGAAAGCGUAAUAGCUCACUGAUCGAGUCGUCCUGCGCGGAAGAUGUAACGGGGCUAAGCCAUAUACCGAAGCUGCGGAUGCG
rnacentral:rRNA from 1 species